GACCUGCAACCUCGACGCCGCACCAGGAAAGACAGCGAUCGAGAGGGAAAGCAUCGUAGGCUCGGCUGUUCCAUCGAGAUGAGAGCAAAGUGGAAGAAGAAGCGCAUGAGGAGACUCAAGAGGAAGAGACGAAAGAUGAGGCAGAGAUCCAAGUAGGGGGGUGGUCGGUCAUGGCUUCCUCGGUGGGAAGGUGCACUGUUGGAACUCUGCGUGGAGUGUUCCCUCGGUUGCUUUAAGAUUGUCGUCCAGCAACUUUAUAUUUUGCUUGUUAGGGUAAUGAUUUGUGGUUUGCUUUGACUAGUGAAAAAUGCUUAACAUUUGGAGACACGCUUAUUUAAUCUCUAUUUUGUCUUAUCGUAUAUGUGGUUUAAUUCGUGAU